GAUGUUGGUGCUUCUCUGUUUGAAUCAACAUCUGAUGGAGCUUCUUUUUUCUGGAGGACUGGCUCUAGUAUGGACAGGAGUGGUGGGAACAGUUUUAAUCUCUGCUCUGAUCUUCUACAUGUGGAGGCGUCAUUCACAGAAAAGGUCAUUUUGAGGGGAAUGCUGGACAUAAAAAGUAAGACUCCAUCCUUUCUAUCAGUCCUGACCUGCAAAGAUACUGCUCACCUUUUAGUCUUAAAUAGUUUCCAUCUUAACUCCAUAUUUUUUUGUUACAGAACUGAACGACCUUCAAAGAAAGAAGAGAAAACGACCAAAUACAAUCAAGGCUGUGAAUCAAAUAUUUCAAUUCAAUUUUAUUCAUUUAGCCCAAAUUCACAACAACAUUCGUCUCAAUUGGCUUUGUAUCGGUAAUUGAAAAGUAAAACCUAAAAUCAAAACUCUCAUGAACCCAGAAUUCAAUAGGACAGAACCCCAGUGCACCAUAGCUUCCCCAGCUUCAAAAUUACUAGCAGCCAACUAAUUGUUAUUGUUAAUAUUAAGUUCAAAAUUCUCUCAACACUAACUAGUCUGACAAUAAUCUGUCCACAGAGGAAUGUUUUCAGUCUAACUUUGAAUGUAGAAACUGUGUCGGCCUCUCUUCCAUGAGCUGGGAACUAAAUCCAUAAAACACGGUCUUGGUGGCUAAACGCUCUACCUCCAGCUGUACUUUUACCUAUAAGUCAUUACAAAACUGGGGUUUUUUAAUGAUGGGGUUUUUUAGGGGUUUUAUACAUUUUUUGUACCGUCUGUUAUUUUGAAACUUAAAAAUUUUGUUAUUUAAAUAAAAUGUUAAUUUGAAAAUGUAUACCGAGUACUGGUAAAUAAAAAGAUUUGUCUUAUUUUUUUUAUUUUUUUUCAAUUGUUAACUGGAUUCACAUUUCUUUAAAUGACCACUAGAUGUCCCUGUAACCCCAAAAUUAUCAGGACCUACUGAAUUAAAUAGUAGUUUUUAUUUUUAGCUAAACUGAGAAUUUCUGGUAUGUUUACACCACCUUUAAGAACAUAAAAAAAUAAGUUUUACAAUAACAUUUUAAGCGUUUUUAUUUUAAUAUAUGCUUUUACUGACUUACCUCAUAUAUAAUGAAAACCGGUUUAUGAGAAUUUCCCUUCAUUGAAAGAUAAGACAUUUUCACAAUAAUCCCAAAAGAGAGUUUAUGCCCAAAAAAAUUUCAUUUAAGAAGCUAAAACACUGACAUUCUUGAAUCACCUAAAUGCACCACAAAUGAUUCAUGGUUUCUGUCUAAAUAUAAACAUAAGAUAAGUAAGGCAGUGAAGAUGCUGGAUUUUUAAUUCAAACAUUUUAAAAUGUUUUUAGUUUUUUGUAAUGUAUUGGAUUUAAAAAUAUUAAAACUUGUUUUUUCUUCUGAAUUUUUAAAAUGUAUUUAAAGUGUAAUAGAAAUAAUUUCUCAUUUUUCAAAAAUAUUUUUUGUAUCUUUGCUUUUUGACAUAAGUUCUAUGCUUUAUGAAAUAA
ensembl:lncRNA